GAGGCCUAUGCAGCUCUCUCUGUUGCAAUAGCCAAAGAGCUUGGAUUAAACCCCGAGAAGGUGAACAUCGAUGGAGGAGCCAUUGCCUUGGGACAUCCUCUGGGAGCAUCUGGCUGUAGGAUUCUAGUGACCUUGUUACACACCCUGGAGAGAGUGGGUGGGACUCGUGGUGUUGCAGCCCUGUGCAUUGGGGGUGGGAUGGGGAUCGCAAUGUGUGUUCAGAGAGGGUGAGCCACCACCCUUACAGUUCUCAUUCAAACACUAAACAGAAAGAACGUGAGACCAGAGGACCACAGUGAGGACAGGAACCCAGGUCGACAGCUCGUUGUACUUUAAUGUGAGACACCCAAGGCUAAGACAUUACACCCAACACUGUCAUAAAUAAAAGGGAAGUCCAAUCAGUCA
rnacentral:lncRNA from 1 species